rnacentral:rRNA from 1 species
UACGGGGGGUGCGAGCGUUGUUCGGAAUUACUGGGCGUAAAGGGCGCGUAGGCGGCCUGGGAAGUUCUGGGUGAAAUCCCCCGGCUCAACCGGGGGGGGUCCUGGAAAACCACCGGGCUGGAGUGCUGGAGGGGUUGGCGGAAUUUCGGGUGUAGCGGUGAAAUGCGUAGAUAUCCGAAGGAACAUCGGAGGCGAAGGCGGCCGGCUGGACAGACACUGACGCUGAGGCGCGAAAGCCAGGGGAGCAAACGGG